GAGCGGAGACGGGGAGCGAAAAAUCCGGGAUCCGGCAACUUUGGGGCGCGCAUGCGCGCCCGCCGCGCUCCAUCCCAAACACACACACAUUUUUCCCCCGGACUUGGAAAGUCACCCAAAGCCGCCCCAAGUGCAGGCCCAACAGACGCCGCUGAUUGAAGGCAAAGAUCUCUUCCCCUCCCGUCUCCGUCUCUGCUUACAGUCAUCGGCCCCUCCUUGCCAAGGGGAAGGAGAAAAGCCCCAGCAGGUUGGAAUGGACUUCAGACCCUGGCCCUUCUGGAUGCAAGGAUGAAGUGAUCCCGCCAGCCACAAACCAGCCGAGAGGCCAAGGAGCGAUCCCCCACAAGGUAAGGCCUCUGGUCCAGUCUGUCAAGGGGGAGGAAGGCUUUCCUGGGCCCGGGGCGGGGGGGUCACCCAGUGCUGACGGCAGAAGGCACGCGCCUGACACCCCACUCCCCGGGUGGAGAGAGGCUGGAGGCAGA
rnacentral:lncRNA from 1 species